UUCUUCUAGCCUACAGCUCAGUUCCAAUAGUUCAAGUGGGUACAAUUAUCUCCAAGAUGGGAAAAAUGGGUGCCAAAUUUCAGGCUCGGCUCACAUGUCAGCAACAGCCUUGUUGCAAAAGGCAGCACAAAUGGGUGCAACUGCUAGUAACAGUAUCAACANNNNNNAUGAUGCAGAAGAGCUUUGCAAGUAGCAUGGCAGGUCCUGACCAGUUCUCUUCUAUAAGACCACCAUCUUAUGGUGUGGGACCACCUUAUAUGAUCACUUCCCAUCACAACCUGAACAAACAAGCAUGGUGGGAAUCAACGCUGGAGGAUUCAAUAAUAAUAAUCAGCCCUUGCAAAAAUGCCCACAAGAAAUGUCACAAUUUUUUGAAACUACUAUAGGUAGUUCAGGCAUGAACGAUAUGGGAAUGUUCAGUACUAUGUUCAUGGGCACCGAACAAAGCCCGGGGUUCAUGAAAAACAUGGAACAAGAAGAUAGUGGUAGUUCUAGCUUGAUACAUGGAAGA
rnacentral:misc_RNA from 1 species